GAUGAACGCUGGCGGCGUGCCUAAUACAUGCAAGUCGAGCGAACGGACGAGAAGCUUGCUUCUCUGAUGUUAGCGGCGGACGGGUGAGUAACACGUGGAUAACCUACCUAUAAGACUGGGAUAACUUCGGGAAACCGGAGCUAAUACCGGAUAAUAUUUUGAACCGCAUGGUUCAAAAGUGAAAGACGGUCUUGCUGUCACUUAUAGAUGGAUCCGCGCUGCAUUAGCUAGUUGGUAAGGUAACGGCUUACCAAGGCAACGAUGCAUAGCCGACCUGAGAGGGUGAUCGGCCACACUGGAACUGAGACACGGUCCAGACUCCUACGGGAGGCAGCAGUAGGGAAUCUUCCGCAAUGGGCGAAAGCCUGACGGAGCAACGCCGCGUGAGUGAUGAAGGUCUUCGGAUCGUAAAACUCUGUUAUUAGGGAAGAACAUAUGUGUAAGUAACUGUGCACAUCUUGACGGUACCUAAUCAGAAAGCCACGGCUAACUACGUGCCAGCAGCCGCGGUAAUACGUAGGUGGCAAGCGUUAUCCGGAAUUAUUGGGCGUAAAGCGCGCGUAGGCGGUUUUUUAAGUCUGAUGUGAAAGCCCACGGCUCAACCGUGGAGGGUCAUUGGAAACUGGAAAACUUGAGUGCAGAAGAGGAAAGUGGAAUUCCAUGUGUAGCGGUGAAAUGCGCAGAGAUAUGGAGGAACACCAGUGGCGAAGGCGACUUUCUGGUCUGUAACUGACGCUGAUGUGCGAAAGCGUGGGGAUCAAACAGGAUUAGAUACCCUGGUAGUCCACGCCGUAAACGAUGAGUGCUAAGUGUUAGGGGGUUUCCGCCCCUUAGUGCUGCAGCUAACGCAUUAAGCACUCCGCCUGGGGAGUACGACCGCAAGGUUGAAACUCAAAGGAAUUGACGGGGACCCGCACAAGCGGUGGAGCAUGUGGUUUAAUUCGAAGCAACGCGAAGAACCUUACCAAAUCUUGACAUCCUUUGACAACUCUAGAGAUAGAGCUUUCCCCUUCGGGGGACAAAGUGACAGGUGGUGCAUGGUUGUCGUCAGCUCGUGUCGUGAGAUGUUGGGUUAAGUCCCGCAACGAGCGCAACCCUUAAGCUUAGUUGCCAUCAUUAAGUUGGGCACUCUAAGUUGACUGCCGGUGACAAACCGGAGGAAGGUGGGGAUGACGUCAAAUCAUCAUGCCCCUUAUGAUUUGGGCUACACACGUGCUACAAUGGACAAUACAAAGGGCAGCGAAACCGUGAGGUCAAGCAAAUCCCAUAAAUUUGUUCUCAGUUCGGAUUGUAGUCUGCAACUCGACUACAUGAAGCUGGAAUCGCUAGUAAUCGUAGAUUAGCAUGCUACGGUGAAUACGUUCCCGGGUCU
rnacentral:rRNA from 1 species